UACGUAGGGGGCAAGCGUUGUCCGGAUUUAUUGGGCGUAAAGAGCGUGUAGGCGGCUGGGUAGGUCCGUUGUGAAAACUCGAGGCUCAACCUCGAGACGCCGAUGGAAACCAUCCAGCUAGAGUCCGGAAGAGGAGAGUGGAAUUCCUGGUGUAGCGGUGAAAUGCGCAGAUAUCAGGAAGAACACCCGUGGCGAAGGCGGCUCUCUGGGACGUGACUGACGCUGAGACGCGAAAGCGUGGGAGCAAACAGG
rnacentral:rRNA from 1 species